rnacentral:piRNA from 1 species
UGGCAGCCAUACUCAGAUGAUUCCAUGGUA